rnacentral:pre_miRNA from 1 species
AUAGUACUCCCUCCGUCCGAAAAUACUUGUCAUCAAAAUGGAUAAAAAGGGAUGUAUCUAAAACUAAAAUACGUCUAGAUACAUCUCCUUUUAUCCAUUUUGAUGACAAGUAUUUCCGGACGGAGGGAGUAGUAA